rnacentral:rRNA from 1 species
AGAGUUUGAUCCUGGCUCAGAUUGAACGCUGGCGACGUGCUUAACACAUGCAAGUCGUGCGAGAAAGUAGGCUUCGGUCUAUGAGUAGAGCGGCGCACGGGUGGGUAACGCGUGGAUGAUCUACCCUUGAGUUCGGGAUAACGGUGCGAAAGCGCCGCUAAUACCGUAUAACAAUCCAUUUCAUCGUGGGUUCAAAGCAGGCCUCUUCGUGAAAGCUUGCGCUUGGGGAUGAGUCCGCGUCCCAUUAGCUUGUUGGCGGGGUAACGGCCCACCAAGGCUACGAUGGGUAGCUGGUCUGAGAGGAUGAUCAGCCACACUGGAACUGAAACACGGUCCA